rnacentral:tRNA from 1 species
CAUCAGAUGACUGAAAAGUAAGUGUAGGUCUUUUAAACCUAUAAUAGUAAUUAACGACUACUUCUGAUGA